GUUACAGUGAGUGAGUCAGUACCACUAAAGCCACAUCUGCAUAACUCCCAGCAAGAUGUUUCUACAGGGAAUGGGGCUAGGGGCUCUCUUCCUGUGGUCUCUGCCAUUUCCUAAACACUCAAUGAAAUGCUGUUGAAUUUUGCCAACUUCAGUUCUGGAGCUAAAUGAAAAGGUUCUGGGCUCAGCUGAUCUGAAAGGUCUAGAGAUUUCUUCUCCCUUAUCUGGAGCUGCCACCAGCAUUUAGAAGCCUUGGAUGACUGUUUAUUCCAAUCUACCCAACCACAGUGGGUGGGGGAAAGGUCCUAUGAGCUUUCUCUCCUCAGAACCUCUGUGGUGUUGACACCAUAGACAGAGGAAGGGCCAGCAACAUCAUUCUGUAGAAUCACCUUUGAUCACCGUUACUGUCUGGACAGUUUCUGCCAGUGUGGCCAGAGUGCCUCUCGCCAUGGCCAUCUGCAGCUCCAUGGCUGGGCCAGUGUGUACCUGACACAUGUCAGACUUCUGAGAUCUUCCAGCUGUCUCAGAGUGAAUUCCUUCAAUUUAGAAAAUGGGUUUAUUUACUAAAUAUACUAUUGUGUGUGUAUGAGUGUGACACAAGGCAAACUCUGGACUGUCUCAUUAGAAGGAUGCAUUUAUACUGAAUCUAAUUUCGGGAGAUCAUGCUGUCAUCUUGCGCAUUGAACAAGAUUGCCCAGUCACAGAGGAACAUGCCCUUUCGCCUCCCCCCACCCUCUCUCAGCUCCCCUCCCCUGCCUAAUCGAGCUGUCGGAUCCACUGAAGGCUGACGCACAGUGAGGGGCGCCGAGAAGCUGUAUGUAUAUAAAGAUAUAAGAAGAAAUAAGAACCAUCAUAGGAAUCUGCUGGGCUCCUUCCCAUGACUGUGAGCUUACCCGUGUGUGAAUCACAAACUUUAAAUUUCUAAUAAUUCGGAUUCUUGCUGUUUCCAAGUAAUUUGUUAAAUGCCUAUUCAACACAGAUAUUUAUUUUCAGCCUUGGCUUGUAAAUGCCUACAAACUGAUUCAUGUUGGUGGUCAUUAUGACACUUUCUGUGAAUUGGUGAAUAAAUAUGACUUUUGAAUUUCAC
ensembl:lncRNA